rnacentral:rRNA from 1 species
GACGAACGCUGGCGGCGUGCUUUAGGCAUGCAAGUCGAACGCGAAAGCCCCUUCGGGGGUGAGUAGAGUGGCGAACGGGUGAGUAACACGUGGGUAACCUGCCCCUCGCAGGGGGAUAACCGGGGGAGACCCCGGCUAAUACCCCGUACGCUUGCUGGGGCGCAUGCUCCGGCAAGGAAAGGUAGCUUCGGCCAUCCGGCGAGGGAGGGGCCCGCGGCCCAUUAGCUAGUUGGUGGGGUAACGGCCCACCAAGGCGACGAUGGGUAGCUGGCCUGAGAGGGUGGUCAGCCACACUGGGACUGAGACACGGCCCAGACUCCUACGGGAGGCAGCAGCCAGGAAUCUUGCGCAAUGGGCGAAAGCCUGACGCAGCAACGCCGCGUGGGCGAUGAAGGCCUUCGGGUCGUAAAGCCCUGUUGUCGGGGACGAAGGGCGAAGGGUUAAUAGCCCCUAGCCUGACGGUACCCGACGAGGAAGCCCCGGCUAACUACGUG